rnacentral:rRNA from 1 species
AUUGAACGCUGGCGGCAGGCCUAACACAUGCAAGUCGAACGAGUGGCGGACGGGUGAGUAAUGUCUGGGAAACUGCCCGAUGGAGGGGGAUAACUACUGGAAACGGUAGCUAAUACCGCAUACCAUCGGAUGUGCCCAGAUGGGAUUAGCCAGUAGGUGGGGUAACGGCUCACCUAGGCGACGAUCCCUAGCUGGUCUGAGAGGAUGACCAGCCCACAUGGGACUGCGACACCGGCCAAGCACCUAAGGGAGGCAGCAGUGGGGAAUAUUGGACAAAUGGCGGAAGCCUGAAGCAGGCCAGCCGCGUGGAUGAAAGAGGCCUUCGGGUUGGUAAAUACUUUCAGGGAGGAGGCGUUACUCGCAGAAGAAGCACCGGCAAACUCCGUGCCAGCAGCCGCGGUAAUAC